GGCGAACGCUGGCGGCGUGCUUAACACAUGCAAGUCGAACGCUCGUAGCAAUACGAGAGUGGCGGACGGGUGAGUAACGCGUGGGAAUCUACCUAGCGGCGGGGAAUAACCUCGGGAAACUGAGGCUAAUUCCGCAUACGUCCUUCGGGAGAAAGGCUUCGGCCACCGCUUGAGGAGCCCGCGUCCGAUUAGCUAGUUGGUGAGGUAACGGCUCACCAAGGCGACGAUCGGUAGCUGGUCUGAGAGGAUGAUCAGCCACACUGGGACUGAGACACGGCCCAGACUCCUACGGGAGGCAGCAGUGGGGAAUAUUGGACAAUGGGGGAAACCCUGAUCCAGCGACGCCGCGUGGGUGAUGAAGGCCUUCGGGUUGUAAAGCCCUUUCGUCCACGAUGAUGAUGACAGUAGUGGAAGAAGAAGCUCCGGCUAACUUCGUGCCAGCCGCCGCCGUAA
rnacentral:rRNA from 1 species